UCUAUGUUCCUUGGAACAGGACGUCACAGAGGGUGAGAAUCCCGUGCGAUGAGAUGACCCGGGUCUGUGUAAAGUUCUUUCGACGAGUCGAGUUGUUUGGGAAUGCAGCUCUAAGUGGGUGGUAAAUUCCAUCUAAAGCUAAAUAUUGGCGAGAGACCGAUAGCGAACAAGUACAGUGAUGGAAAGAUGAAAAGAACUUUGAAAAGAGAGUGAAAAAGUACGUGAAAUUGUUGAAAGGGAAGGGCUUGAGAUCAGACUUGGUAUUUUGCAUGCUGCUCUCUCGGGGGCGGCCGCUGCGGUUUACCGGGCCAGCAUCGGUUUGGAGCGGCAGGAUAAUGGCGGAGGAAUGUGGCACGGCUUCUGCUGUGUGUUAUAGCUUCUGACGAUACUGCCAGCCUAGACCGAGGACUGCGGUUUUUACCUAGGAUGUUGGCAUAAUGAUCUUAAGUCGCCCGUCUUGAAACACGGACCAAGGAGUCUAACGUCUAUGCGAGUGUUUGGGUGUAAAACCCGUACGCGUAAUGAAAGUGAACGAAGGUGGGGGCCCAUUAGGGUGCACCAUCGACCGAUCCUGAUGUGUUCGGAUGGAUUUGAGUAAGAGCAUAGCUGUUGGGACCCGAAAGAUGGUGAACUAUGCCUGAAUAGGGUGAAGCCAGAGGAAACUCUGGUGGAGGCUCGUAGCGGUUCUGACGUGCAAAUCGAUCGUCGAAUUUGGGUAU
rnacentral:rRNA from 1 species